UACAUGGGGUGCAAACGUUGCUCGGAAUUAUUGGGCGUAAAGCGCACGUAGGCGGUUCGUUAAGUCGGAUGUGAAAGCCCUCGGCUCAACUGAGGAAAGUGCACCCGAAACUGGCGAGCUUGAGUACGAAAGAGGAUCGCGGAAUUCCCGGUGUAGAGGUGAAAUUCGUAGAUAUCGGGAGGAACACCGGUGGCGAAGGCGGCGAUCUGGGUCGAUACUGACGCUGAGGUGCGGAAAGCGUGGGGAGCAAACAGG
rnacentral:rRNA from 1 species